UGUUUUGCAGCUCUGUUUCGUUCCCUGACGGUAACCAAAUCUAGAUGUAGGAAUCUGUUGAGCAGGAGAGUGACACAUGUCUUCCCGAAGGCUGUCCAGGCUGCAGUGGUGAUGAAGAAGACACGAUCAUCACCCGAGAUCGAUCGUAGCGAAUUGGAAAACUCAAGGUGAAUUUGCUUCCACUCCAAGGCAAUGUCGAGGUAUGAAGGGUGCUUGUACUGCCUUCCAAAGUGAAGAGGAGAUGAACAUGGCUUUGCAUAGCUGUUGUUCUAUGCCAACUUACCUACUCUUGCUGGUACCGUAGUGGCAUAUUGCAAAUUUCGUGGACGAACAACUCUAGUCACUAGUGGCUAGUGAGCAACACUAACAGACCAGGAUGCUUCGCUAUCAACUCCUGGCUUUCCAUCGGCAUGGUGUUCAGCUGCAGCGGCAUCUGGUCCGGGGAGUUCAAGUUGCUGGAUGGCUGCACUGACACAGGAUGGGUUUGCGUUGGCAAUGCGAUACGGCAGUCAUCCCACAUCACGAGCUACAUGUUUAUGUAAUUUAUAUUGUCGCUCGUCCAGCAACGUCAAGGCUCUGCAUGUAAACACAGGAGAACACCAUAAUACUACUCAGGGGAUAAUAAUUUUGGAUAUCAAUUUCGUGACAAUUAUUAGAUUCACACAAUAUUCACAACGUAUGCAACACGAUGCUGUCUAUUGACACUACUUCAAACUGAAGUGCUCACUACUCCUCUCCCGUUUUCAUCUCCCUCUACCUUAUGAAUACUCUGCAUUACUGGUUUCGUUUCUACCUUUUCCAUUGCUGCCAGCUCCCAGUUUUUUUCAAUGCACAGCACCACCUUGACAGUCAUUUUUGUGAUUUGAUGUACACAUACUUUGAAGUUCAAAUUCGAAUUACAUGAUCAGAUUUUUGUUCCACAUUUUCUAUUUAUUUUUACUUCAAGCACAACCCUACCGAUGAAGGGAAAGAA